rnacentral:rRNA from 1 species
UACGUAGGGUGCAAGCGUUAAUCGGAAUUACUGGGCGUAAAGCGCGCGUAGGCGGCGCGGUAUGUCGUGCGUGAAAUCUCCCGGCUUAACUGGGAGGGGCCGUGCGAAACUGCCGGGCUUGAGGUCAGAAGGGGAAAGUGGAAUUCCGGGUGUAGUGGUGGAAUGCGUAGAGAUCCGGAGGAACACCAGCGGCGAAGGCGGCAUCCUGGACUGGUCCUGACACUCAGGAGCGAAAGCGUGGGGAGCGAUCCGG